rnacentral:lncRNA from 1 species
UUUAAUAGUGAACUUUUGUUUAGAAGGUGAUGUUGUUGGUGAUUUUAUUUGUUGAAAAUGCUCAACUUUUGGUGACUUUAAUAGUGAAUUAGUGUUUAGAAGGUGAUGUUGUUGGUAACUUUAUUUGUAGAAAAUGCUUAACUUUUGGUGACUUUAAUAGUGAAUUAGUUUCGUUGGUGCCUUUGUUAGUUGAAAAAGCUUAAGCUUUGGUAACUUUAAUAGUGAACUAGUGUUUAGGAGGUGAUGUUGUUGGUGACUUUAAUAGUGAAUUAGUUUCGUUGGUGCCUUUGUUAGUUGAAAAAGCUUAAGCUUUGGUAACUUUAAUAGUGAACUAGUGUUUAGGAGGUGAUGUUGUUGGUGACUUUAAUAGUGAAUUAGUUUCGUUGGUGCCUUUGUUAGUUGAAAAAGCUUAAGCUUUGGUAACUUUAAUAGUGAACUAGUGUUUAGGAGGUGAUGUUGUUGGUGACUUUA